rnacentral:tRNA from 1 species
GGUUGUGGCUCAGUGGUAGAGCGCUUGCCUAGCAUGCAUGAGGCACUAGGUUCAAUCCCUGGCACCA